rnacentral:rRNA from 1 species
AGCACUUCGGUGCGAGUACAGCGGCGGACGGGUGAGUAACGCGUAGGAAUCUACCUAGUAGUGGGGGACAACAUGUGGAAACGCAUGCUAAUACCGCAUACGCCCUAUGGGGGAAAGCAGGGGAUCUUCGGACCUUGCGCUAUUGGAUGAGCCUGCGUCAGAUUAGCUAGUUGGUGGGGUAAUGGCCUACCAAGGCAACGAUCUGUAGCUGGUCUGAGAGGAUGACCAGCCACACUGGAACUGAGACACGGUCCAGACUCCUACGGGAGGCAGCAGUGGGGAAUAUUGGACAAUGGGCGCAAGCCUGAUGCAGCCAUGCCGCGUGUGUGAAGAAGGCCUUCGGGUUGUAAAGCACUUUCAGUUGUGAGGAAAGGGGUGUAGUUAAUAGCUGCACUCUGUGACGUUAACAACAGAAGAAGCACCGGCUAACUUCGUGCCAGCAGCCGCGGUAAUACGAGGGGUGCAAGCGUUAAUCGGAAUUACUGGGCGUAAAGCGUUCGUAGGCGGUCUAUUAAGCAAGAUGUGAAAGCCCAGGGCUCAACCUUGGAACUGCAUUUUGAACUGGUAGACUAGAGUACUGUAGAGGGUGGUGGAAUUUCCAGUGUAGCGGUGAAAUGCGUAGAGAUUGGAAGGAACAUCAGUGGCGAAG